UUCACACCGCACAAUUAGGACUCAAGGAAAUAGCCACUUGUUGCACCUGGGGAGAUUUAGUUUAGAUAUCAGGAAGAUUUUUUUCUCUCAAAGAGUGAUCAGGCACUGGAACCGCCUACCCAGGGAGGUGGUGGAGUCUCCAUCCCUCGCGGU